rnacentral:rRNA from 1 species
GACGAACGCUUGCGGCGUGCUUAACACAUGCAAGUCGAACGGAAAGGCCCUGCUUUUGUGGGGUGCUCGAGUGGCGAACGGGUGGGUAACACGUGAGUAACCUGCCCUUGACUUUGGGAUAACUUCAGGAAACUGGGGCUAAUACCGGAUAGGAGCUCCUGCUGCAUGGUGGGGGUUGGAAAGUUUCGGCGGUUGGGGAUGGACUCGCGGCUUAUCAGCUUGUUGGUGGGGUAGUGGCUUACCAAGGCUUUGACGGGUAGCCGGCCUGAGGGGGUGACCGGCCACAUUGGGACUGAGAUACGGCCCAGACUCCUACGGGAGGCAGCAGUGGGGAAUAUUGCACAAUGGGCGGAAGCCUGAUGCAGCAACGCCGCGUGCGGGAUGACGGCCUUCGGGUUGUAAACCGCUUUCGCCUGUGACGAAGCGUGAGUGACGGUAAUGGGUAAAGAAGCACCGGCUAACUACGUGCCAGCAGCCGCGGUGAUACGUAGGGUGCGAGCGUUGUCCGGAUUUAUUGGGCGUAAAGGGCUCGUAGGUGGUUGAUCGCGUCGGAAGUGUAAUCUUGGGGCUUAACCCUGAGCGUGCUUUCGAUACGGGUUGACUUGAGGAAGGUAGGGGAGAAUGGAAUUCCUGGUGGAGCGGUGGAAUGCGCAGAUAUCAGGAGGAACACCAGUGGCGAAGGCGGUUCUCUGGGCCUUUCCUGACGCUGAGGAGCGAAAGCGUGGGGAGCGAACAGGCUUAGAUACCCUGGUAGUCCACGCUGUAAACGGUGGGUACUAGGUGUGGGGUCCAUUCCACGGGUUCCGUGCCGUAGCUAACGCUUUAAGUACCCCGCCUGGGGAGUACGGCCGCAAGGCUAAAACUCAAAGGAAUUGACGGGGCCCCGCACAAGCGGCGGAGCAUGCGGAUUAAUUCGAUGCAACGCGUAGAACCUUACCUGGGUUUGACAUGGAUCGGGAGUGCUCAGAGAUGGGUGUGCCUCUUUUGGGGUCGGUUCACAGGUGGUGCAUGGCUGUCGUCAGCUCGUGUCGUGAGAUGUUGGGUUAAGUCCCGCAACGAGCGCAACCCUUGUUCACUGUUGCCAGCACGUUAUGGUGGGGACUCAGUGGAGACCGCCGGGGUCAACUCGGAGGAAGGUGGGGAUGACGUCAAGUCAUCAUGCCCCUUAUGUCCAGGGCUUCACGCAUGCUACAAUGGCUGGUACAGAGAGUGGCGAGCCUGUGAGGGUGAGCGAAUCUCGGAAAGUCGGUCUCAGUUCGGAUUGGGGUCUGCAACUCGACCUCAUGAAGUCGGAGUCGCUAGUAAUCGCAGAUCAGCAACGCUGCGGUGAAUACGUUCCCGGG